UUAUAUGAAAAACCCAGAAUGUACGCGCCCGAUCUCGUCUGAUCUCGGAAGCUAAGCAGGGUCGGGCCUGGUUAGUACUUGGAUGGGAAAAACCCAGAAUGGGCAAAGU
rnacentral:rRNA from 1 species